AUGCUCACUUCAUCAGCACAUAUAUUAAAAUUAGAACAACACAGAGAAGAUUAGUAUGGCCCCUGUGUAAGGAUGACACAUAAAUUCAUGAAGCUUUCCAUAUUUUU